rnacentral:rRNA from 1 species
AUACGGAGGGUGCAAGCGUUAAUCGGAAUUACUGGGCGUAAAGGGUUCGUAGGCGGUUAUUUAAGUCAGAUGUGAAAGCCCCGGGCUCAACCUGGGAAUUGCAUCUGAUACUGGGUAACUAGAGUUUAAGAGAGGAGUGUGGAAUUUCCGGUGUAGCGGUGAAAUGCAUAGAGAUCGGAAGGAACAUCAGUGGCGAAGGUGGCACUCUGGCUUAAAACUGACGCUGAGGAACGAAAGCGUGGGUAGCAAACAGGAUUAGAAACCCUUGUAGUCC